GAUCCUGGCUCAGAACGAACGCUGGCGGCGCGCCUAACACAUGCAAGUCGAACGGAGAUUACAGGCGGAAGUUUUCGGAUGGAAGCUUGUAAACUUAGUGGCGGACGGGUGAGUAACACGUGAGCAACCUGCCUAUCAGAGGGGGAUAACGAUUGGAAACGAUCGCUAAUACCGCAUGACAUAGCGGAACCGCAUGGUUCUGUUAUCAAAGAUUUUAUCGCUGAUAGAUGAACUCGCGUCCG
rnacentral:rRNA from 1 species